GCAGGUUCUCUUUAACGCGGGGUCAGGUGAGAAUCAAAGACACCGAGGCAGGUUUCCUUUAACGCGGGGUCAGGUGAGCUCAAAUCGAUCGAAUGGGUUCAUUUGAUGGUGUCAAGGUAAGAUACGAGAAGGCCUCUUCUCAUUGCCUUCCCAUGGCUGUUUAUAAGGAUCCAAUUCCUCUCUGUCUGUCCAAGGGUUGAAUACUAGGCUUGAUAACAGAUCAAAUACAUUGAAAAAAUGCUUGCAUUUAAAGUCGAUCACUUUUGUUGUUAUGUGGAUGUUAAUAUCUGUUUUGUUUCCACCGUAAGCAAUAUAAUAUGUCAGCCAUAGGCCAUGCACCUGAUAGACAAUCAUCUGUCAGCUAUAGGUCUAGCACCGGAUAGACAAUCAUCUGUCAGCUAUAGGUCUAGCACCGGAUAGACAUUCAUCUGUCAGCUAUAGGUCUAGCACCGGAUAGACAUUCAUCUGUCAGCUAUAGGUCUAGCACCGGAUAGACAUUCAUCUGUCAGCUAUAGGUCUAGCACCGGAUAGACAAUCAUCUGUCAGCUAUAGGUCUAGCACCGGAUAGACAUUCAUCUGUCAGCUAUAGGUCUAGCACCGGAUAGACAAUCAUCUGUCAGCUAUAGGUCUAGCACCGGAUAGACAAUCAUCUGUCAGCUAUAGGUCUAGCACCGGAUAGACAUUCAUCUGUCAGCUAUAGGUCUAGCACCGGAUAGACAAUCAUCUGUCAGCUAUAGGUCUAGCACCGGAUAGACAUUCAUCUGU